rnacentral:rRNA from 1 species
AUCAUUACCGAGUGUAGGGGUCCUAGCGAGCCCAACCUCCCACCCGUGUUUACUGUACCUUAGUUGCUUCGGCGGGCCCGCCAUUCAUGGCCGCCGGGGGCUCUCAGCCCCGGGCCCGCGCCCGCCGGAGACACCACGAACUCUGUCUGAUCUAGUGAAGUCUGAGUUGAUUGUAUCGCAAUCAGUUAAAACUUUCAACAAUGGAUCUCUUGGUUCCGGCAUCGAUGAAGAACGCAGCGAAAUGCGAUAACUAGUGUGAAUUGCAGAAUUCCGUGAAUCAUCGAGUCUUUGAACGCACAUUGCGCCCCCUGGUAUUCCGGGGGGCAUGCCUGUCCGAGCGUCAUUGCUGCCCAUCAAGCACGGCUUGUGUGUUGGGUCGUCGUCCCCUCUCCGGGGGGGACGGGCCCCAAAGGCAGCGGCGGCACCGCGUCCGAUCCUCGAGCGUAUGGGGCUUUGUCACCCGCUCUGUAGGCCCGGCCGGCGCUUGCCGAACGCAAAUCAAUCUUUUUCCAGGUUGACCUCGGAUCAGGUAGGAUACCC